AAUUGAGAAGUAAAGAAAUUUAUGAUGUUAGAUGAUAUUAUGCAUAAUUAUCCAUUAUGUUGAAUGUUGUGAUUUAUUUGCUUGUAAGUUUACAGUAAAUAAAUGCAAUAUUCUUUUAUUUUACAUUAUUAUUGUCAAUUUCCAGCAUUUAUAUAUUUAUGUUAUGAAAAUAUUUAAAGUCGAAUUUAAGGUGAAGUGACAGAGGAAAAGUGUUAG